rnacentral:lncRNA from 1 species
GAGCUAGUUUAAAAGUGUGGCACAUCCCCCCUUGCUCUCUCUCCUGCUCCACCAUGGGAGAUGUGUUUGCUUCCCCUUCACCUUCUGCCGUGAUUGUAAUCUUCCUGAGGCUUCUCAGUUAUGCUUCCUGAUAAGCCUGUGGAACUAUGGAUGACAGGAUGGAGUCUCCAGCUGUGAAAGUGUUGCUGCAGACAGCCCUCAGCUUCCAGUUCUUGUAAAAAUGGCCUCAGCUUCAGAGAGCUCCAUUACCCAAGCUCAUUCAUUUCCUGGGGUGUUCUGCAUCCAGUGAGUGUUCUGUGGACUUGCCAGAACACUCACUUUUGGAACCUGGCCACCAUGUUGGAAGGAAUCCCAGAGCACAUGAGGAGGCCUUUUGGGGGUGUUCCAGCUGACAGCCUUAGCUAAGGUCUUAGCUAAUAGUCAGCAUCAACUGCUGGCAAGUGAACAAGGCUUCAGAUGAUUCCAGCCCUCAGCUUUCCAGCUGAAAACAUUGUAAAGCAAAUACAGCCAUUUCCACUUUGCCCUGUCUGAAUUCCUGACCCACAGAAGCCAUGAGAGAUAACAAAUGAUUACUAGUGCUUUAAGCCACCGGGUUUGGG